rnacentral:rRNA from 1 species
UACGAAGGGGGCUAGCGUUGCUCGGAAUCACUGGGCGUAAAGCGCACGUAGGCGGCUUUCUAAGUCAGGGGUGAAAUCCUGGAGCUCAACUCCAGAACUGCCUUUGAUACUGGAGAGCUUGAGUCCGGGAGAGGUGAGUGGAACUCCGAGUGUAGAGGUGAAAUUCGUAGAUAUUCGGAAGAACACCAGUGGCGAAGGCGGCUCACUGGCCCGGUACUGACGCUGAGACGCGAAAGCGUGGGGAGCGAACAGG